rnacentral:rRNA from 1 species
AUAGCGAAGGGGAAACACCCGGUCCCAUUCCGAACCCGGAAGUUAAGCCCUUCGUCGCCGAUGAUACUCCUUACGGGGGAAAGUAGGUACUGCCAGGC